rnacentral:rRNA from 1 species
UACGAAGGGUGCAAGCGUUAAUCGGAAUUACUGGGCGUAAAGGGCGCGUAGGCGGCCCGCUAAGUCGAACGUGAAAUCCCCGAGCUCAACUCGGGAACUGCGUCCGAUACUGGCGGGCUUGAAUCCGGGAGAGGGAUGCGGAAUUCCAGGUGUAGCGGUGAAAUGCGUAGAUAUCUGGAGGAACACCGGUGGCGAAGGCGGCAUCCUGGACCGGCAUUGACGCUGAGGUGCGAAAGCGUGGGGAGCAAACAGG